rnacentral:rRNA from 1 species
GGGAAACUUACCAGGUCCGGACUUAGUAAGGAUGUACAGAUUGAUAGCUCUUUACAGAUUCUAAGGGUGGUGGUGCAUGGCCGUUCUUAGUUGGUGGAGUGAUUUGUCUGGUUAAUUCCGUUAACGAACGAGACCUUAACCUACUAAAUAGUCAGGAGAAUCAUCCGAUUCGACGAUGACUUCUUAGAGGGACGUCGCGUGUCUAACGCGAGGAAGUGUGAGGCAAUAA